CUGACCUGGGGUCUCCUGUGAGCUCUGGAGGGUAACCCCCUCUGCAGUGGACACGGUGUGUGCUCCUGCUGACCAGGGGUCUCCCGUGAGCUCUGGAGGGUAACCCCGUCUGCAGUGAACACGGCGUGUGCUCCUGCUGACCUGGGGUCUCCCGUGAGCUCUGGAGGGUAACCCCCUCUGCAGUGAACACGGCGUGUGCUCCUGCUGACCUGGGGUCUCCUGUGAGCUCUGGAGGGUAACCCUGUCUGCAGUGAACACGGCGUGCGCUCCUGUUGACCUGGGGUCUCCUGUGAGCUCUGGAGGGUAACCCUGUGAACACGGCGUGCGCUCCUGUUGACCUGGGGUCUCCUGUGAGCUCUGGAGGGUAACCCUGUGAACACGGCGUGUGCUCCUGCUGACCUGGGGUCUCCUGUGAGCUCUGGAGGGUCACCCCCUCUGUAGUGAACACACACGCACUUGUUGGCCUGGGUCUGCGCUUUCCAUUUUGCCUACAGCGGCUUCCCUCAGGCAGAAGUUUUAAUUUGCAUAUAGUCACAUGCAUCAGUUUCCCCUGUGGCUGAGACUCUGGCCUGGCCCCCGUGGGGACGCUGAGCCCCCACCUUCAUCUUUGUGGUAGAGUUUUACGGGUUAUCCUUUAAUCCAUCCGGAAUUACAGUGUGGAGCAGGGAUCUAAGUUUAUCGAUUUCCCAAGUGGACGGUCAAUUGCUCGGCCCCAUUUAUUCCAAGUGCCCCGCCCCCCACCAAGUCUGUAUCACAACACAGCACUCCCAACGGCCGGGUCUUUCCGAGACAAUCGAUUCUUUUCUGUAGACCUUUUUAAAAGCUAUUCCUGCAUGCUUUCAAUUAAUACGGCUUUUCAUAGGGAAGUCCUACUUGUUGACAAUCUUUCAAAAAUCGUCCCAGCCACCUCAUGCUCCUUCUGCCUGUUAAUUGCUAUAGCUUGGCUUGGCAAAUCCCACAAAAGUCCUGUUUACCUUUUUAAUUAGAAUUCCUUCCAUUUUAGGUUAAGUCCCCUUGUAAUACGUUUGAUCUGUUGUCAUGCAAUUUGCUUAAACCAGCCACGAGCUCUGCCUGGGAGAAAGGGAAACGCUUCCUGUUUUCUGGGAGCACAAACAACUUGGAGGGCGUGUGGAGGAAGACACGGAGGGAGACACAGAGGGAGAUACGGAGGGAAACACAGAGGGUCCUGCGUGUGGAGGAAGACACGGAGGGAGACACAGAGGGUCCUGCGUGUGGAGGAAGACACGGAGGGAGACACGGAGGGUCCUGAGCGUGGAGGGUGUGUGAGGAGACACGGAGGGAGACACGGAGGGUCCCGCAUGUGGAGGAAGACAUGGAGGGAGACACGGAAGGUCCCACAUGUAGAGGAAGACACGGAGGGAGACACGGAAGGUCCCACAUGUAGAGGAAGACACGGAGGGAGACAUGGAGGGUCUGUGUGUGGAGGGAGACACGGAGGGAGACACGGAGGGUCCUGCGUGUGGAGGAAGACACGGAGGGAGACACGGAGGGUCCUGCGUGUAGAGGAAGACACAGAGGGUCCUGAGCAUGGAGAGGGUGUGAGGAGACAUGGAGGGUCCCAUUUGUAAAGGGUGUAUGAGGAGACAUGGAGGGUCCCGCGUGUGGAGGAAGACACAGAGCGCCCUGUACCCUGAGUCCCCAGGAGAGCAGCUGCCCCAUGCACAGAGGCUCCCGAGGGAGGGUGGCAAUGCUCACAGGCCAGAGGGGCAUGACACUGCCAGCCACACCCAAGUGUAGGUGAGACCACAAGAUACCAAAGUGCCCCACGUGGCCACGCAUCAGUGCAUGCCAGCAUCUAUGCAUGUCACCUCUGUGACAGCCACGUGGCUAAACAGCA
rnacentral:lncRNA from 13 species